GGGACUCAACGCUGAGCCGGGCCACGGGUCUCGAUCCCCCAACCCGACGCCGCCCAAGGCUCACAGCCUCCGGGCUACGGCCUGGUGCUGCUAGGCUGGGAAAGAAGACCCACAAACCUGGGUCCGCUAGGCGCAGGGUAGCACUUCCCAGAGGGCCGCGCGGCUCGCCGGGCGGGUCUGGCCUUCGGCGUGCGAGUCAGGAGAGUGGCCAAGGCUCGGGAGCUGGUGACCUUCAGAGAUGUGGCAGUAGACUUCCCCCAAGAGGAAUGGGGUUGCCUGAAUUCUUCUCAAAGGCAUUUGUACAGUUGUGUGAUGUUGGAGAACUAUAGAAUCCUGGUGUCUCUGGGCCUUUGCUUUUCUAAGCCAAGUGUAAUAUUCCUGUUGGAACAAGGGAAAGACCCAUGGACCGUGAAGACAGAGCUGACAGACAGUUUCUCCACAGGUGGGCAUCGCUACCGGUGGAUAAACACAGAACACUACGUGGAGCGAGGCUCAAAGAACAGCGGUGCAGGUAAGUGGGGCCAGGACUCAAGCGAAGGUGGAACCGUUCCAGCCCAUGUUGGCAGCGUUCAUGUCGUAAUAGUUGAUGUAGACCCGGUCCGGGCUGAUGUGCAGGCGAUCGGACAGCAGGCCACACAGCAGCUUACUGUAGUUGCGGUUCUGGGCACCACCGAUCUUGCCGAUGCUGUGCAGGCUGCAGAGGGCGCAGGGAUCGUUCGUGCCGCUAAAAGUCAUGAGCUGGUCCGGGACCACGUGCACUGCGAUGUACUGUGCGGGCUUGCCGGUGGCCUGCGCCAGCUGCUGGGUGAGCUCAGACAGAAACCCCUCUGGCACGGAGGCGUGGGGAACAUUGGUGUUCACGAUGAACAUAGGCAUGGUGGCGGAGAGACUGCGAGCGUGGACCGGAGGACGGUACAAAGCGCGGUGUGACCCAAGCCAGGGACCUGAGCUACGUGACCCAGCCCACACUCAGCUUUCUGAGAGGACAUUUUCAUGGGUAACUGUUGUAGUAAAUGAUGCUG
rnacentral:sRNA from 1 species